UCUUAAGGCCAUUACUCACCACAAGUCUCCUAAUAUAAUGCUUCUAAGACUGUACAGUCAGCAGAGAGCAAGGGGAAAAAUCAAUGUGAACCACAUUAGACAAGGCGAAGGGUAAUGCGUAAGUGCUGGGAACUCGUCCUGAAAAUGGAAACGACUGAGCCUUGGGGCCAUCAGAAGAUGGGAACACCCCACGUGCAACAUGGACCUAGUGAUGGAGACCCUGACACGAGUUCUGGCCAUGUCCCCAGCCACCAGCUCUGUCCUCGUGCUGACUCUGGGUGUCACAGAGCUCCUGUUAACAUCUCCAAUAAAACAACACAUCACAAGAAUCAACAAGACAGACAGGCUUCUGGAGAAAGGAGGAGGUGGUGCCAGUCAGCAAGCAGCCACACAGUUAUGGAACCAGCAGCCCACCCACACCUGAGACUUGUAGGACUGUUCGGGGUUAGCUCCCAGCCACUGCAAAUGCUGGUCCUGAGCAGGGAACAGCUCUAUGCAAAGACCCUGUGCUGCCGGUGCACCUGCAGGUGCAAAGAACCAACUUGCAGCAGGAAUGGCCAUUCAUCACAUAAAUUAGUCCUGCAUACGUACAUCCUCAUUUGCAAAUAAUCCAUGUCUCGUCAGAUAAUUCCCUCCCUAUGCAAAGGCAAGUUAAGGAGAAGCAAACUGAAGUGAGCGUCAGGCUGAAGUCUUGUAGCAGGACAUGUGGUUGUGAAGAAUGCAGAGCAGGGUAACGUGAGAAGCCAGCUGGUAACGUUUCGUCACUUUUUCCAGGGUGGAAGAAUUUAUAGACCCUCUCUUCAACACAAAUCAUCUCUAUUAGCUUCUCCUGCUUUUAAAAUUGGGUUCUGCUAGCCUUUAUUUAUCAUGCUUUCUUGGGACCACACAAAUUAAACAAAAUAUGCGUG
rnacentral:lncRNA from 1 species